rnacentral:rRNA from 1 species
GGAGGGCGCAAGCGUUGUUCGGAAUUAUUGGGGCGUAAAGCGCGUGUAGGGUGGGCGAGGAAAGUUGGGUGUGAAAUCCCGGGGCCCAACCCCGGAACUGCACUCAAAACUUCCUCGCUAGAGUCCCGGAGAGGAAGGCGGAAUUCCCGGUGUAGAGGUGAAAUUCGUAGAUAUCGGGAGGAACACCAGUGGCGAAGGCGGCCUUCUGGACGGUGACUGACACUGAGACGCGAAAGCGUGGGGAGCAAACAGGAUUAGAUACCCUGGUAGUCCACGCCGUAAACGUUGUGUGCUAGGUGUCGCGGGUAUUGACCCCUGCGGUGCCGUCGUUAACGCAUUUAGCACACCGCCUGGGGAGUACGGUCGCAAGGCUA